rnacentral:rRNA from 1 species
UACAGAGGAGCCAAGCGUUGUCCGGAUUGACUGGGCGUAAAGCGCACGCAGGCGGCUGCGCGCGUGGGGUGUGAAAUCUGGCCGCUUAACGGCCAGGCGCCAUCCCAUACGGCGCGGCUUGAGCCUUGCAGAGGGCGGUGGAAUUCCCGGUGUAGUGGUGAAAUGCGUAGAUAUCGGGAGGAACACCAGUGGCGAAGGCGACUACCUGGCCUGUUCUUGACGCUGAGGCGCGAAAGCUAGGGGAGCAAACGGG